rnacentral:misc_RNA from 1 species
UGCAAGCUCCAGUUACAGUAAGUUGCAUCUUCCUCUCUCAGUCUGCGAUUUUGGUACACGUUAGAAAUAUUCUAUGCUCUUUUACUAAUAUACGCACCAUAUCUCUUGUCCAUGUUGGUCAUUUUCAUACUUGUUUUCUAGCGCACACAAUUAUUCCCCUCCCCUCGCAUUUAGCCAAAAUAAUAACAAUAAUAAUAAAUA